rnacentral:rRNA from 1 species
GACGAACGCUGGCGGCGUGCUUAACACAUGCAAGUCGAACGGAAAGGCCCUGCUUGCAGGGUACUCGAGUGGCGAACGGGUGAGUAACACGUGGGUGAUCUGCCCUGCACUUCGGGAUAAGCCUGGGAAACUGGGUCUAAUACCGGAUAUGACCUUCCAUGUAGUGUGGGGGGUGGAAAGAUUUAUCGGUGUGGGAUGAGCCCGCGGCCUAUCAGCUUGUUGGUGGGGUAAUGGCCUACCAAGGCGUCGACGGGUAGCCGGCCUGAGAGGGUGGACGGCCACAUUGGGACUGAGAUACGGCCCAGACUCCUACGGGAGGCAGCAGUGGGGAAUAUUGCACAAUGGGCGGAAGCCUUAUGCAGCGACGCCGCGUAGGGGAUGACGGCCUUCGGGUUGUAAACCUCUUUCGACAGGGACGAAGCUUCGGUGACGGUACCUGUAGAAGAAGCACCGGCUAACUACGUG